rnacentral:misc_RNA from 1 species
GAGUUGAUCCCAUAUUUUUAAUAAUGGUACUCAUCACGGUCUUGAGGUUCUUCUUCAGGAUACCAUGCAGCUGAAAUGUCUGUCUAGUGGUCAAACGGAGAGUGCCAAUGCCAAACUCAUCAGCAAGAUCAUCCAUAGCCAAAUAGAGCUGAUUUGGAACUUUCCCACAUGGAUUUUUUGUUCGGAGCAUAAAUGAGUAAG